UGGCGGUGAAAGACGCUUCCUCAGCCCGCGCGGGAGACCGAGAAAUAGCAGUGAGUGAGAGCUGGUCCUCUCGCCGGUCCAUAGCCACCGAGUGUCGCCCGGGCCCAGCCUAUUUCCUCAGACACAGCCCCAGAGCCGGGCGGCCACCCCUACCCCGGGAGCCCUUCGCCAAGCGCGCAGCUCCAGACCAGAAGUAGCCGCUCCGACCCAGAGCUCCGGGUGGGGCAGAAAAAUCUUUUCUUGCUGCUCUCCUAGGAUCUACCAACCAGAGAUUCUAAUGUGAUAUGUUUGGAAUGGAGUUAUCGACCUGCAUUUUUAAUAGGCAUCCUCCAGGUUUCUACCGUCUGUGGAACAUGGAAUCAAACCAGAAUAUGUUGGCACAACAGGCCAGUAAAACCGGUUCUUCCGUAGAUCCAGAACCUGUCCAACCAGUCUGUAUCAAAGGCUAGCCCAACAUGCUGCAGCGGCUCAGCUCUGCUAAGCUUGUACUGGGUGAGUUAUCCCCACCUCCCGUGAACUCCCAACAAACUACUCAGAAUGUUGUAGCCUCCAGCAAAAUAAUUCAGAGUUCUAGUGGGAGGGGUAGAUCUGUGUCAGGUAUAGCAAGAGUGCAUUGUUAUAAGACUCUCAUGGUAGACAUAUAUAAGCAAGUGGUCUGUUAUCUUCAGAGGUAGGUAAUCCUUUUAAACAUGUAUUCUGGGGCAUUCUGCUGACUACAGCCUCUAGAAAUAGAUUACCUAUGAUGAAGAUGAAUCCUAUAAUGCCUGACCUUUUCCACUAGUCUGCUUGGCUUUGCUUAAUCCAGCUUAACCUUGAGGAGAGAGAUUGAUAUUCCUCACAGGGUAGUGGGCUUGAGAGCUAGAAGGAAGUAUUUCUAGAAGGAGAGAAACAAGGUGUAGGUUGACCAAACAUUUGCCUGGGUGUGUUAUCUUCCUUGUUCUCAAAUGAUUCUCAUACCAUUCCAGUCUAAAAUUGGAAAAACUCCUACUUCUACAUACUAGGGACAACUUAGAGAGGUUUUGCUCUGAAUAUUCAACGGUUCAACACAGAGUAUUUAUAUCAACUAUGUUUUAAGAACUGUGCUAGGUACAGGGUUCACAGUGUGAGUAAAAUUAGUAAAGAUGAGAGCAACUUCAAAGUUCCCGAUUAAGCAUGUCGAGUAAACUUUUGGAAAGAAGAAAUGAGCAGCAAAACAUUACAUUUUGACAGAAAUUAGUUUGUAUUAAGAGAGAUCAUGUGAGAUUUGUGCUUACUCUCUCAUAAUACUUGCACAUUUAGAAGCAUCGUUUCCUGUCUACUGCCAUAGUGUUUCUGAAACUUUUGUGCUUAAGAGUCAUCUGAAGUGUUGAUUAAGAGCACAGAUUCCUGGGUCUAACCGCCACAGAUUCUGCUUCAGCAUUCAAUAGGAAUGUUGCCCAAGCACUUCUAGUGAUUCUGAUGCAACUGUUGCAGGGACCAUAGCACAUAUUCCAUGCUCAGUUUCUUUUCUAUUUUUAUACCUCUUAAUUAAAAAGAAUACAUAUGAACCAAAAGUUGCCAUUUUUAUUUUUGUAUUUCUAGUGUUUAGAACACUGACGGACACUUAGAAGGUACUUAAAAAUGCUUAUCAGAGUCAAGCACUUGCUAGAUCUCAGAGGAAUCACAACUAGUAAUGACUAUACGAAUCAAACUCCAUUAAAUACUAUAAUUAUAAUAAUUGAGAUGGGAGCUCAGAAAUGGGAGUAUGACUAUAAGUAUGUGGAAGACUUCACAUGGGAGAUGGGUUUAGAGACUUUUCUUUUUAAACCAUGGCCAAAGAUUUCUAACUGCAGGAUAACAAAAGGCUAAAGGAACAAUAAAAAUAGUGCCUUUGAUUUGAUAACAAUAACAAAAGUGUUAAGUAUAUGAGGACACCAUGAACUCAAAACUUGGUCAUAAGGUUAUUUUCUACAGCAGGGUCAGCGGAUUUUUCCUUAAAGGAUCAGAGACUAAUAGAGUUUGUCAGCUAGACUGUCUGUGUCUCAACUAUUCAGUUGUAACAGUGUAGCACAAAAACAGGCAUAGACAAUAGUCAUUUAAAUGGGUAUGAUAUUGUGAAAUAUGUGUUUGGUCUUUAACCUUUUUUCCUAGUGGACAACUCCUAAAAUCCUUACUCUCCAAAGUGAUGUCUUUGGAUGCUAAUGAGUUGUCUGAUAGCUGGCAACCCUUAGGUAGCUUCAGGAUGGGGGCUGGUCACCAGAAAGACCAAGGCAGGAUUAGGGGCUUAGGAUUUUCAGCCCUUUACCACAACCUGCGGGUUAAAUUGAUCACUAAUGGCCAAUGGUUUAAUCAUGCCUAUGUAAUGAAGUCCCAAGAAAACCCAAAGGACAUGAUAGCUUUCCGAUAGCUGAACAUAUGGAGCUUCCUGGAGGGUGGUGCAUUGGAGAGGGCAUGGAAGCGCAACACCCCUUCUCAUGUGCCUACCCCAUAACUCUCUUCAUCUGUACCUGUGGCAAUAUCCUUUACUGUAAACUGGUAAACGUAAAUGGUUCCCCUCAGUUCUGUGAGUUGUUCUAGCAAAUUAAUCAAACCCAAGGAAAAGGGUCUUGGGAUCCCCAAUUUAUAACCAAUCAGUUAAAAGCACAGGUAAAAAUAACCCAGCACUUGCAAUUGGCAUCAGAAGUAAGGGGCAGUCUUUUGGUACUGAACCCUCAACUUGUGGAAUUUGAUUUCUAGGUAGAUAGUGUCAGAACUAAAUUGGAGGAUACCUGCCUGGUAUUUGCUGCAGAAUUCAUUGCUUGCUUGUUGGUAGGGGAAAAUCUCCACAUAUUUGGUCGCAGAAGUCUUCUGUGUUAAUUGUUUGUUGUUGAGUGAGAGAAUAGAAAAAGUACUUUGAGUUUGAGUGUGCUUUUUUCCACAUGAUUCGUAUGGAUGUGUUCUGAUAAAACUUUACAAAACAAGUGGCAGGCCAGAUUUGGCUAGUGAGCCAUAGUUUGCUGACCCCUGAUCUAGAGUAAAACCUGUGAAUUGUUAAUUGAAAAAUUAAGAAGAUUGCAUAAUUGGCUAGGCCAAUUGGCUUUCGAAUUACAAAGACGUGGGUUCCAUCCCAGUUCUGUUCCACCCUAGCUUUGUCACCUGAAUCAAACAUCAGUUUUGUUUAUAAAAUGGGAUGCAAAAUAAUAGUACCUAUCUCUUAGAGUUAUUACAAGAUCCAAAUAAUAAUUUAUGUAAAGGUUUAUCUGAAAAUCUAAUACACAGUAAGGGCUUGAUAAAAUGUCAGCUGAAAAUAAAACUAGUUAAACAUAGCAGUUGAACUUGUUUAUUUCUGUUGUUCUUGAAAUCCCAAUAAAAUGACUCUAGAGAACCAAAACUGCAUGAACCCUUAAUGAUCAAAAAGAUUGAGAGAGGUAGCAGAUAAGAGACAUCCAUGUAUUUUUGCAAGGAGGAAUGAGAAUGAGUGGUGACUUAGCAGAAUAGAGAGGAAGUCUAACUACUUGCCAUAAUAAAAGCAAGUCUGUCUCUACUGCAGAAUGCUGGAAAAAUUCAGAAUUUGGAGGUACAAGGUACCCUUAAAUAGUAUUGGGGAGUAGAGUGGGCUUGGAAUGGAAGGAUUGGUUAAAAUCUGCUUAAGGAACAGUUUGCUCCAUAGGUCCCAUCUUAACCUGGAAGCCUGGAUUCUUCGACCUUGACAGAGAUAAGUAGGACUUGGUUGAUUAAUGGUAGAAGAGAUUAUCUCAGGUUUGUUCUAGAUUUGGGAAUACUAAGCAGAGCUGAGAGUGGAUGCUAAAGCACCAUACUGAAAUCAAAUGAUUAUAUUAUUUUCCUAUUGGUUCUAUAACAAAUUACCCCCAAAUGUAGUGGUUUAAAAAAACACAAAUUUAUCAUCCUAUAAUUCCAGGGGUGAGAAGUCCAAAAUGGGUCUCGGUGGGUUAAAAUUAACGUGUCAGCAGAGUUGUCUUUCUUCAUGGAGGCUCUAGAAAGAAAUUUUGCUUUUUUGCCUUUUCCAGCUCCUUUCAGCUACCUGCAUUACUUGGCUCAUGGCUCCCUUACUUCUUCAAAGCCAGCAAUGGCUUUUUCACAUCAUAUCAUUUUGUCCCUGACUCUCCUGUCUUCUUCCACAUUUAAAUCCAACUGAAUAAUCCAAGAUAAUCUCCCUUUGUUAAGGUCAGUUUUUUAGCAAGCUUUAUUCUACCUGCUAUCUGAAUUCUCUUUUGCCAUGGAACUUAACAUGCUUAUAGGUUCCUGGGAUUAGGAUGUGUGGACGUCUGUGAGAGGCCAUUAUUCUGCCUACUAGAUAGAUUAAGUCAGAGUCUGUGUAUUGGUUGGUGAGAUACCCAUGUCUGUUCAUUUGCUUGGCUUCCAAAUGCUAGUAACUAGGUUCAUAUUCUUCACUCACAAAGUAGGAAAUUGGAGAAUUUCUCAGAGAAACUCUCAAGACCCUGAUCACCCUAAUGCAUUGGUUAUAAACUAGGACUGAUUUCCCCCCACAGGGGACAUUUGACAAUAUUUGGAGAGAUACUUGAUUGUAAUAACUAAAGAUAUACACAAAGGUGUGCUACUGGCAUCUCAUGGAUAGAGGCCAAGGAUGCUGCUAACCAUCUUGCAGUGCACAGGGAAGCUCAUCUUCCUGUUCCCCAAAAUAAUUAUUCAGUUCAAAAUGUCAAUAGGGCCAAAAUUGAGAAAUCCUACCCUAAUGUUAAGUCUAUCAGUUAACAUCACCCUAACAUAAAUCAAUGACUGAUGAGAGAGCAUGUAACAUGAAAAAGAGGGGAGAAGAAACCAACAGGUAAAAUGAACUUAUAAAAAACAGUCAAUGCAGAGAAUAGAAUAGUAUUUUAAAUUGACUAUAUUAAUAUGUUCAAAGAAAUAAGACAAGUUACUGAUUAUGUAAAACAAGAACAGAAAGGCUAUCCAAAAGUAGAACUUUUGAGAACAAAAAAGAGAUAUUGGAAAGUAAAAAUAUGAUAGUAGAAAGGAAGUCAGUAACCCAGGUAGAGUUUAGUGAUUUCACAAAGAUUGCCAGAUUGGUUAAAAAUGUAAGACCCAACUGUAUGCUUUCUGCAAUAAACAUAUUUUAGACAUAAAAAAACAAAUAGGUUAAAGGUAAAAGGACCAAAAAAGACAUACCAUGCCAACACUAAUCAAAAGAUACUUACAUUACUAUCAGACAAAAUAGGUUUUAGAUCACAGUAUAUUACUAAGGAUAAAAAGGGUCAUUUCAAAAUGAUAAAAGGGUGAAUUCAUCAAGGGUACCUAAUGUAAUUGUAUGCAUUCAUGUGUCUAAUGAUAUAAAUGGAAAACACAUGAAUCAAAAUCUGAUAGAACUGAAAGGAGUAUAGGAAAAAUUUAUAAUUAGAUGCCAUAAUUAUGUCUGGAGAUUCCAAUACUCCUCUUUCAAUAAUUGAUAGGGUAAGUAGACAGAAAAUCAGUAAAAGUGUAGAAGGCUUAACACUAUCAACCUACUAGAUGUACUUGACAUUUGUAGAUCACUGUAAAACAACAAAACACAUGUUCUUUUCAAGUGCACAUGGAACA